rnacentral:lncRNA from 1 species
AUUUUUCUAUUUGCUAUGGAUUUGGUGUGUUGUGUUACAUGCUUAUAUUUCUUUUUAAACACUUAGGAGUUCACCAGACUUUUUUGUUAUGUGGUUGAUGAAGCAUUAUCCUGGGACAAUAGUAAUGAUGGAUGGAUGAACGUACUUCAGGCUUUAGUCACAGAGAAGCAUGACGAUUUAGACCUCUGAAGUAGGUGUGAAUGGAAUUGAAGGGCUUACAUGGAGGAUUCUGAAUUCCCUUCCUUCCUGCUCCAGGAAAGACGGGAGAGGCAGAUGGAUCAUUCUUUACCAGCUGCCAAGGCCAAUACUGCUGUAUAGCCCUUGCUCUCAGCAACGUCCUCAGUGUCCUGGUGAUGGGGUGCCUUGUAAGGACUGUGCAGAUCAAGCUUCAUACUACCUUUGCACUUCAGGCUCUCUGUGCUGCAUAAAGCUGCACCGUUCAGAAGAAGCAAGACUGUCUUUCCUUACAGCUACGAUGCUGCACCGCUUUCGACACAGCGUGCUUUUCCCCGCGUUUACCUGGGCGGCUGCUGCUCUUUCUGCUGCUGCUGGGGCUGCUGCAGUCUUGCUGCCUGCGCUUCACCCUGGCUUAACUGACUCGAAACUCUCCCGUCUGCACAUUGCUAAGGAAGAAGAACGAUGGAGCCGCAUUUUUUUUUUUUGUUGGCUCUGGAAGCAAAGGGUUGCGAUAUGCGAUGAUUUGGGGAUUUUCUUUGGUGGGGGGGAAGGAGGAGAAAAGAAGGGUGUUAAUCUAGGAUGGGGUGGGUGA